rnacentral:lncRNA from 1 species
UGUUUGUGUAGGUACUUGUGACAAUCCUUCACUGGAUCGAUCCCUUGGUUCUCAAAAACUGAGGGAAAUACUUACCACCAAUGUGCUACAUCACCCUUUCCGCUUCGAGGGAACACCAACGCAAGGCUCCAAGGCCACGGGGGAACCCUUUGCAUAUUUGCCAAGGAAGUCCCUAAAGGCGUAGCCGUAGCAGAAGAAUUCCGGGUGCCGUUGCUGAGGAUUAUCAAGACAAGAAUAGUCUCCCGUCAACACGCUUGUUUCUGGCGCCGUUGGAAGGUAUUUUGUUGCAGUAGCAGUAUGCAUGUGAUGUGAUAUGGACAAAG